UGAGCAAUCUGCCCUUCUCAUCGGAAUAAGCGUUGGAAACGACGUCUAAUGCCGAAUACGACCUCCUUUCGCAUGAUCGGAGGGGGAAAGCUCCGGCGGAGAAGGAUGAGCUCGCGGCCUAUCAGCUAGUUGGUGUGGGUAAUGGCCCACCAAGGCGACGACGGGUAGCCGGCCUGAGAGGGUGACCGGCCACACUGGGACUGAGACACGGCCCAGACCUCCGUACGGGAGGNAGCG
rnacentral:rRNA from 1 species